rnacentral:rRNA from 1 species
UGGGUAACCGUAGCCCAACGAGACUGGGAGUAACAACCUCGGAAACAAGAUGCUAAUACCGGACGUAACAACACUAGACGCAUGUCUAGAGCUUUGAAAAGAUGGUUCUGCUAUCACUCUUGGAUGGACCUGCGGUGCAUUAGCUAGUUGGUAAGGUAACGGCUUACCAAGGCAAUGAUGCAUAGCCGAGUUGAGAGACUGAUCGGCCACAUUGGGACUGAGACACGGCCCAAACUCCUACGGGAGGCAGCAGUAGGGAAUCUUCCACAAUGGACGAAAGUCUGAUGGAGCAACGCCGCGUGAGUGAAGAAGGGUUUCGGCUCGUAAAGCUCUGUUGGUAGUGAAGAAAGAUAGAGGUAGUAACUGGCCUUUAUUUGACGGUAAUUACUUAGAAAGUCACGGCUAACUACGUGCC